rnacentral:tRNA from 1 species
GCCCUGGUGGCACAGCGGUUAAGCGCUCAGCUGCUAACUGAAAGGUUGGUGGUUUGAACCCACCCAGUGGCU